rnacentral:rRNA from 1 species
AUUGAACGCUAGCGGCAUGCCUUACACAUGCAAGUCGAACGCGUGGCGGACGGGUGAGGAAUAUAUCGGAACGUGCCUAGUAGCGGGGGAUAACUACUCGAAAGCGUGGCUAAUACCGCAUAAUCUUGGAGCGGCCGAUAGGGUAUUAUCUAGUUGGGGGGGUAAAGGCGCACAAAGGCGACGAGCCGUAGCUGGUUUGAGAGGAUGAUCAGCCACACUGGGACUGAGACACGGCCCAGACUCCGACGGGAGGCAGCAGUAGGGAAUUUUGUACAAUGGGGGAAACCCUGAUCCAGCCAUCCCGCGUGUAUGAGAAGGCCUUCGGGUUGUAAAGUACUUUUGGCAGAGAAGCGGGAUCUGAAGAAUAAGCACCGGCUAACUACGUGCCAGCAGCCGCGGUAAUAC